rnacentral:rRNA from 1 species
GGUUAAGCGACUAAGCGUACACGGUGGAUGCCCUGGCAGUCAGAGGCGAUGAAGGACGUGCUAAUCUGCGAAAAGCGUCGGUAAGGUGAUAUGAACCGUUAUAACCGGCGAUGUCCGAAUGGGGAAACCCAGUGCAAUUCGUUGCACUAUCGUUAACUGAAUACAUAGGUUAACGAGGCGAACCGGGGGAACUGAAACAUCUAAGUACCCCGAGGAAAAGAAAUCAACCGAGAUUCCCCCAGUAGCGGCGAGCGAACGGGGAGCAGCCCAGAGUCUGAAUCAGCUUGUGUGUUAGUGGAACGGUCUGGAAAGUCCGACGGUACAGGGUGAUAGUCCCGUACACCAAAAUGCACAGGUUGUGAACUCGAAGAGUAGGGCGGGACACGUGGUAUCCUGUCUGAAUAUGGGGGGACCAUCCUCCAAGGCUAAAUACUCCUGACUGACCGAUAGUGAACCAGUACCGUGAGGGAAAGGCGAAAAGAACCCCGGCGAGGGGAGUGAAAAAGAACCUGAAACCGUGUACGUACAAGCAGUGGGAGCACCUUCGGGUGUGACUGCGUACCUUUGUAUAAUGGGUCAGCGACUUAUAUUCUGUAGCAAGGUUAACCGUAUAGGGGAGCCGCAGGAAACCGAGUCUUAACUGGGCGUUAAGUUGCAGGGUAUAGACCCGAAACCCGGUGAUCUAGCCAUGGGCAGGUUGAAGGUUGGGUAACACUAACUGGAGGACCGAACCGACUAAUGUUGAAAAAUUAGCGGAUGACUUGUGGCUGGGGGUGAAAGGCCAAUCAAACCGGGAGAUAGCUGGUUCUCCCCGAAAGCUAUUUAGGUAGCGCCUCGUGAACUCAUCUUCGGGGGUAGAGCACUGUUUCGGCUAGGGGUCAUCCCGACUUACCAACCCGAUGCAAACUACGAAUACCGAAGAAUGUUAUCACGGGAGACACACGGCGGGUGCUAACGUCCGUCGUGAAGAGGGAAACAACCCAGACCGCCAGCUAAGGUCCCAAAGUCAUGGUUAAGUGGGAAACGAUGUGGGAAGGCACAGACAGCCAGGAUGUUGGCUUAGAAGCAGCCAUCAUUUAAAGAAAGCGUAAUAGCUCACUGGUCGAGUCGGCCUGCGCGGAAGAUGUAACGGGGCUAAACCAUGCACCGAAGCUGCGGCAGCGACACUAUGUGUUGUUGGGUAGGGGAGCGUUCUGUAAGCCUGCGAAGGUGACCUGUGAGGGUUGCUGGAGGUAUCAGAAGUGCGAAUGCUGACAUAAGUAACGAUAAAGCGGGUGAAAAGCCCGCUCGCCGGAAGACCAAGGGUUCCUGUCCAACGUUAAUCGGGGCAGGGUGAGUCGACCCCUAAGGCGAGGCCGAAAGGCGUAGUCGAUGGGAAACAGGUUAAUAUUCCUGUACUUGGUGUUACUGCGAAGGGGGGACGGAGAAGGCUAUGUUAGCCGGGCGACGGUUGUCCCGGUUUAAGCAUGUAGGCUGGUUGUCCAGGCAAAUCCGGAUAAUCAAGGCUGAGGUGUGAUGACGAGGCACUACGGUGCUGAAGUAACAAAUGCCCUGCUUCCAGGAAAAGCCUCUAAGCAUCAGGUAACAUUAAAUCGUACCCCAAACCGACACAGGUGGUCAGGUAGAGAAUACCAAGGCGCUUGAGAGAACUCGGGUGAAGGAACUAGGCAAAAUGGUGCCGUAACUUCGGGAGAAGGCACGCUGGUGUGUAGGUGAAGCCCCUGCGGGUGGAGCUGAGACCAGUCGAAGAUACCAGCUGGCUGCAACUGUUUAUUAAAAACACAGCACUGUGCAAACACGAAAGUGGACGUAUACGGUGUGACGCCUGCCCGGUGCCGGAAGGUUAAUUGAUGGGGUUAUCCGUAAGGAGAAGCUCUUGAUCGAAGCCCCGGUAAACGGCGGCCGUAACUAUAACGGUCCUAAGGUAGCGAAAUUCCUUGUCGGGUAAGUUCCGACCUGCACGAAUGGCGUAAUGAUGGCCAGGCUGUCUCCACCCGAGACUCAGUGAAAUUGAACUCGCUGUGAAGAUGCAGUGUACCCGCGGCAAGACGGAAAGACCCCGUGAACCUUUACUAUAGCUUGACACUGAACAUUGAGCCUUGAUGUGUAGGAUAGGUGGGAGGCUUUGAAGCGUGGACGCCAGUCUGCGUGGAGCCAACCUUGAAAUACCACCCUUUAAUGUUUGAUGUUCUAACGUUGGCCCCUUACCGGGGUUGCGGACAGUGUCUGGUGGGUAGUUUGACUGGGGCGGUCUCCUCCUAAAGCGUAACGGAGGAGCACGAAGGUUAGCUAAUCCUGGUCGGACAUCAGGAGGUUAGUGCAAUGGCAUAAGCUAGCUUGACUGCGAGCGUGACGGCGCGAGCAGGUGCGAAAGCAGGUCAUAGUGAUCCGGUGGUUCUGAAUGGAAGGGCCAUCGCUCAACGGAUAAAAGGUACUCCGGGGAUAACAGGCUGAUACCGCCCAAGAGUUCAUAUCGACGGCGGUGUUUGGCACCUCGAUGUCGGCUCAUCACAUCCUGGGGCUGAAGUAGGUCCCAAGGGUAUGGCUGUUCGCCAUUUAAAGUGGUACGCGAGCUGGGUUUAGAACGUCGUGAGACAGUUCGGUCCCUAUCUGCCGUGGGCGCUGGAGAAUUGAGGGGGGCUGCUCCUAGUACGAGAGGACCGGAGUGGACGCAUCACUGGUGUUCGGGUUGUCAUGCCAAUGGCACUGCCCGGUAGCUAAAUGCGGAAGAGAUAAGUGCUGAAAGCAUCUAAGCACGAAACUUGCCCCGAGAUGAGUUCUCCCUGAGACUUUAAGUCUCCUGAAGGAACGUUGAAGACGACGACGUUGAUAGGCCGGGUGUGUAAGCGCAGCGAUGCGUUGAGCUAACCGGUACUAAUGAACCGUGAGGCUUAACCUU